rnacentral:rRNA from 1 species
UACGUAGGGUGCAAGCGUUAUUCGGAAUUACUGGGCGUGAAGCGUGCGCAGGCGGUUAUGCAAGUCAGAUGUGAAAUCCCCGGGCUCAACCUGGGAACUGCCUUUGUGACUGCAUAGCUAGAGUGCGGCAGAGGGGGAUGGAAUUCCGCGUGUAGCAGUGAAAUGCGUAGAUAUGCGGAGGAACACCGAUGGCGAAGGCAAUCCCCUGGGCCUGCACUGACGCUCAUGCGCGAAAGCGUGGGGAGCAAACAGG